AUUGAACGCUGGCGGAAUGCUUUACACAUGCAAGUCGAACGGCAGCACGGACUUCGGUCUGGUGGCGAGUGGCGAACGGGUGAGUAAUACAUCGGAACGUGCCCAGUCGUGGGGGAUAACGUAGCGAAAGCUACGCUAAUACCGCAUACGAUCUACGGAUGAAAGCGGGGGAUCGCAAGACCUCGCGCGAUUGGAGCGGCCGAUGGCAGAUUAGGUAGUUGGUAGGGUAAAGGCCUACCAAGCCGACGAUCUGUAGCUGGUCUGAGAGGAUGAUCAGCCACACUGGGACUGAGACACGGCCCAGACUCCGACGGGAGGCAGCAGUGGGGAAUUUUGGACAAUGGGCGCAAGCCUGAUCCAGCCAUUCCGCGUGCAGGAUGAAGGCCUUCGGGUUGUAAACUGCUUUUGUACAGAACGAAAAGGCUCUGGUUAAUACCUGGGGCUCAUGACGGUACUGUAAGAAUAAGCACCGGCUAACUACGUGCCAGCAGCCGCCGCGG
rnacentral:rRNA from 1 species